UAAAGAGCUCGUAGGUGGUUCGAUACGUCGGAUGUGAAAAUCAGGGGCUCAACCCUGACCUGCAUCCGAUACGGUCGAGCUAGAGUUUGGUAGGGGAGACUGGAAUUCCUGGUGUAGCGGUGGAAUGCGCAGAUAUCAGGAGGAACACCGAUGGCGAAGGCAGGUCUCUGGGCCAAUACUGACACUGAGGAGCGAAAGCGUGGGGAGCGAACAGGAUUAGAUACCCUGGUAGUCCACGCCGUAAACGGUGGGCGCUAGUUGUGCGAACCUUCCACGGUUUGUGCGACGCAGCUAACGCAUUAAGCGCCCCGCCUGGGGAGUACGAUCGCAAGAUUAAAACUCAAAGGAAUUGACGGGGCCCCGCACAAGCAGCGGAGCAUGCGGCUUAAUUCGACGCAACGCGAAGAACCUUACCAAGGCUUGACAUAUACAGGAAUAUGGCAGAGAUGUCAUAGCCGCAAGGUCUGUAUACAGGUGGUGCAUGGUUGUCGUCAGCUCGUGUCGUGAGAUGUUGGGUUAAGUCCCGCAACGAGCGCAACCCUCGUUCUGUGUUGCCAGCAUUAAGUUGGGGACUCACAGGAGACUGCCGGGGUUAACUCGGAGGAAGGUGGGGAUGACGUCAAAUCAUCAUGCCCCUUAUGUCUUGGGCUGCACGCAUGCUACAAUGGCUGGUACAAACGGCUGCGAUACCGCAAGGUGGAGCGAAUCCGAUAAAGCCAGUCUCAGUUCGGAUUGGGGUCUGCAACUCGACCCCAUGAAGUCGGAGUUGCUAGUAAUCGUAGAUCAGCAACGCUACGGUGAAUACGUUCCCGGGGCUUGUACACACCGCCCGUCACAUCACGAAAGUCGGUAACACCCAAAGUCAGUGGCCCAACCGUAAGGAGGGAGCUGCCAAAGGUGGGAUCGGUGAUUGGGAUGAAGUCGUAACAAGG
rnacentral:rRNA from 1 species